UUUGAAAACAAAUAAACAGUCAUAUCUGGUCUCGCAAAAUUAGAACAGUUCAGUGAUUACAAGCUACCUUACCAUAAAGCAUCGCUUAAUUUACCAUAAAGGUUGCAAAAAUAGGUCUCUGGUGGAUAAUUGCUCUCACAUAUCUCACGAACAAACUGAACCACCUCCAAUUUCCUUGUCCGACAAUUUGUUGAUUUUUGAAUCAGUCGCUUGCACAAGUUGAUUCAUUCCACGUUUUCGUGUCUUCACAAAGUACUUUUUUUUCGCUUUGCAACAUAAAUAAGAUGGUGGUACUGCAUUCUGCGAUGCUGAUGUCUGUUCUCCUCGUGUUGUGCAUCACACCCUCUGCAUUAGCGACCUGUCCUCCUCCGCUGAUGCUACAGGGGGGCUGCUUGAAGAGAUCCUGGCAUGAACCUACUGGAUUUGCAGGUUCCGUGUCUGAAGGCAAAUCUGGCAUGGUUGAUAGGAAACGAGGUCGCAGCAGCUGGAGGUUCUUUCCCGAAUCGUUGCCCGCUGAUUCUGGCAACAACAGAAGACUGAACAGGGACGCUACCGUUCACUGAGAAGCUGGUCUCGAAAAAAAAAUUGACUAACUUUGUAUUCAAAUAAGAAAAAACUCAUUUUAAGAUUUCAAUUGAUUAUUUUUGUCUGAGAAAUUGUGGUCGGAAACUUUUGAACAUUCUAAAUUUUUUCCAAUUAUUGAGUUAU